UGAUAAAAGCAGCAGCAACAAGCGGACCGGCCAUGUUGGAGAAAAUUCAAUGAUUCCAAGGAAAAACUAGAGGACGACAACAGCUAAACCCAGGGCUGUACCACCAAAGGCUGGAAGACUCCCACUGGAAAUCAGGUGAUUAAGGUACUAACAAAAAUCGCCUGCCAGCCCCAUCUGACCAAUAAGCAUCAGACAUUAGACGCUUGUAAGUUCACCUAAAGUAAGGCUAUCUUCAAAGGAUCCAGACCGCCUCUUCACCCACAAAUGCCAUAAUCUCCUGUCUCGCAUCGAAAAAGGAUAACGAAGGCAAAACGGUUUGUGGGUGCUUCGUGUGAAAUCUAAACUAAUGGAAAGGAAUAUCUCACGCAGACCCUGACCGAAGAGAUGACUAUGGACACUAG